UUUUGGAGCAGCUGACUCCUUAGUGGUGCAGAAGCAUCAAGAUGAAGGUUCAGUGAACUCAAGGGACCGCUUCCUAGGAUAAAGCCGAGCAACUUUGACUCUUAAUGAAGAAAUUAGCACCCAGCAGAUGCUGACUUUUUGCCUGCGUUGAGGAAAUGCAAGGAACAUCCUUUGCACUUUCUCACAAAGAAUCCAGACCACAACAUGCUCUAUGUUACAGCUCAG